AAUCAACGCUGGCGGCGUGCCUCAGACAUGCAAGUCGAACGAUUAAGACUUCCUUCGGGAAGUGUAUAAAGUGGCGCACGGGUGAGUAACACGUAAGUAAUCUACCUUCGAGUGGGGAAUAACAUCGGAAACCGAUGCUAAUACCGCAUAAUGCAGCGGCAUCGCACGAUGACAGUUGUUAAAGGAGCAAUUCGCUUGAAGAGGAGCUUGCGGCAGAUUAGCUAGUUGGUAAGGUAAUGGCUUACCAAGGCUACGAUCUGUAUCCGGUCUAAGAGGACGGUCGGACACACUGACACUGAAGAACGGGUCAGACUCCUACGGGAGGCAGCAGUCGGGAAUUUUGGGCAAUGGGCGAAAGCCUGACCCAGCAACGCCGCGUGAGGGAUGAAGUAUUUCGGUAUGUAAACCUCGAAAGAAUGGGAAGAAUAAAUGACGGUACCAUUUAUAAGCUCCGGCUAACUACGUGCCAGCCGCCGCCGUAAAAC
rnacentral:rRNA from 1 species